rnacentral:lncRNA from 1 species
UUAAAAAAUAAAUAAUAAUUUUGAUUUAAAUUAUAUAGUCAUACUCAAAACCUAGGUCACCAUAUUUCCUUUAAAAUGGUUUUUGAGGUCUUUUCUGAAAAUUGCACAGUUCUUUUUUGUUCCACCUUCUUUAUAUAGUCAACUGCAAUAUAACACAAAACGUUGUGUAUCACAGACUGUCUUCAUAUUGAUAUGGCAUACAUAUCCUUUAUUUUCUUUUGUAGUUGAUCAGUCUGUUUCUGUCUCUUAUUGUUGUUGUUGGUUUUUUUUAUGUGACACCUCUGAGAUGGUACCCAUAGCAACAUCCACUAGCACAGGUGGAAUGUGGAGUUCUUCAGACAGGAAUAUACUCCCAGUGAAACUUCUGAAGAAUGAUUAUCUUCCCUCUCCUUUUGGGCCAAGCUGAGAGAAGAAAAGCAAGUAGGAUGCGGAUGUUUUUGUUUGUACAUGACCGCUGGAUGUAUCCAGUCUCUGAUGAAAUUCUUCUAGUGAGUAUCCCAAAAUAAUUUUGCUAUCACAUUUCCAGAUUCUUUUUAUCUUAAUUAUUUCAGACAAUGUCUUUCACUAAUCUGGAAUUUAUUGCUUAAAUCUAUUGUACCGUUAUGAUUUUAUUAUUAAUGUUUCACCUAUAAAAAUGAUAUAAAUACAAAGCCAUCUUUUAUUAUUCACAUACAUCUUCCAUUAAUUCUACCAAGGUACGGAACCUGACCUUC